AAUAAUUAAAAACCAAUUGUUCAAAGAACAAUUGAAGGUCUUUCCACAUCAAUUUUCUAAAUAAUUGAUAGGAAGCUACUUCUGGUUUACUCAAAGUAUAAUAGCGUCAAAGUAUAGAUUUCUUCAUACUGAUUCAAUAAAUAAAUGGUUUCUAUAUACUUUUGCCUGAAAUAAGGGAGAUAAUUGCCAACUUCCGGUUUAGAAAAUGUCACUUCCAGUCUAAUAUGAUAGCUUUAUUCACACUGAUUCCAAAAAUAUAUAGUUUGUAUAUACUUAUGCCUGUAAUAAGGAAGAUAAUAUGCUACUUCCGGUUUAGAAAAUGUCACUUCCGGUCUAAUAUGAUAGCUUUAUUCACACUGAUUCCAAAAAUAUAUAGUUUGUAUAUACUUAUGCUAGUAAUAAGGAAGAUAAUAUGCUACUUCCGGUUUUAUAAAAUGUCACUUCCGGUCUCAAAUGAUAGGUUAACCUAUGAUCAUUCAAAAAAUAUAUGGUUUCUAGGUACUUUUCCAUGAAAUAAGUGCAAAAAAUACUACUUCCGGUUCACCCAAGGUCACUUCCGGUUGACUUUUUUCAAGGUCAUAUGUCAACCAACAGUUUGCAAAAGACCCUAUGGCUUUAUCAUGUACCAAGUUGGAGUAAUAAUCAAUUAACCUUAAAUUGAAUCAUUUCAGGGACAAUAACUCCUAUAAGAUAUCAUUGGAUUGUUUCAGACCAAAUGUAUCAUGUCUUAAUCACAAUUAAGCAAACAUUUUGCACUAGUUCUUUAAUUUGUAAUUUUAAAAGUGACAGAGGAGAUCAAAUAACAAGGAAAAGUCCAAAUUUAGAAUAUGACCUUGACCUUUGACCUUGGUCUCAAUUUCAUUUAAAUGAACCAAGGAACUCAAAUCAAUAUACCUUAGGUCUCUAUCACUUACCAUUCAUGCUAUACAUUUAUAUAUCCCUUAUGUCAAAUACAGAAGGGGAAAUAACUCUCAUAUGGAGUUUACGUAUCGCUUCGGUCAAAAUUGGACAAAACAUCCUGAGGAUAUAACGAGCAAUUUGGUAAAAGAAAUUUGUCGCUUUCUUUUACGGUUACGGAGGAGAUGCGUGCACAAGGAAAACAGUGUUCGGGGAGAUAACUCCUACAAAGAAAAUUAUUUGGUUUCGCAGGGUAAAUUUCAAAGGCGCAUAAACUGUUCGAUAUCAUAUACCAAAUAUCUAAGCGACAUAUUGCGAAACAAAUAUUUAUCGCAAGAACAAAAUUAGGCGGAAGAAAAAAAAAAAAAAAAUAAUCAGAAAA